rnacentral:snoRNA from 1 species
GCAGUGCCAGACCGGUUGCUGGUGGCUGCGUCCCCGUGCCCCAGCGACCCAGAUGGCAUUGCGAAAGCAAACCCCAGUCAGCGCCGUUGCCGCCCCCCGCCUGCGCCGCCGGUCACCCGCUGCCCCACGGGACCGGCGGCCUGGGGCCGGCCAGCUGCACAGCU